CUAUAAACAGCAGCGGCCGCGUGCCAGCCGAAAGAGGGAGAGAGAGAGAGUGAAGAAGAAAAAUAAAAAAUAAAAAUAAUCUCUGCGUCUGCCUCUCUCGCGCUCGAUUCACACAGAGGCUCCUCCUCCUGGCUGCUUCUUCCUCAAUCCCCAAUCCGCCGGCCGACGAGGAACCUCCCAUGCUCCACGGCCCCAAGGCGGCCCCCCGGAUGACCCGCCGCUCCCCCUGCCGCUCCGCCUCCUUCGCCUGCUCGCUCAACCCCCCCGGAGCCGCCGCCGCCGCCCGCUAGUUGUCGCCCGGGGCGGCGGAAGAUCCGGCCUUGGCACCCCCGCCUCCGGCUUCGUCCCGCGAAGAGCUGAUCGUGGGGUGGAGGGGCAGUGCUUUUGACAGAGAAUUUGAGCCCAACGGAUGAACAUGUGCGAGAAAGAUCAAAAUUUCCACUGGGCCUACGACCUUUUCCGUGACCCUUUUGCCGCUCCCAACAGCUACUAUGGACAUCCUAAUGGUUACAGUGACAACAGCUAUUGUGACUACAAUUAUGCUAGAGAUGCAUCACAUCCAGAUGAGACAUAUUUGCAUUCUUCCGCACUUACGUGUGAUAUGUACAACCCACAAGUAGGCAUGUACCAUCCUGGAAAUGUUGGUGGGCAGGAGCAUGAGGCAGUCUAUGUAGAUCCAUCUAGUUCCUCUUCAUACCCUGGCAGCGACGACUGUUUUGAAAUGGAGGAAGAAGUAGAGAAGAGAUUUUACCCCAUGGUCCCAGUUCCUCAUGUCCCUAAAAUUAAUGGUGAAAUUCCAUCACUUGACGAAGCCACCAUGGACCAUGAAAGGCUGUCCGACAGGUUGAGGCUGUAUGAACUAACUGAGAACAAGGUGAAGGGUGAUGGCAAUUGUCAGUUCCGUGCACUAUCAGAUCAGCUGUACCAAACUCCGGACCACCAUGAGUUUGUGAGGGAGCAGAUAAUUAGCCAGCUUAAAAGUAACCGGGAAGCCUAUGAUGGAUAUGUCCCCAUGGCAUAUGAUGAGUAUUUGGACAAAGUCUCACGAAAUGGUGAAUGGGGUGACCAUGUGACUUUACAGGCUGCUGCUGACAAGUACGGAGUGAAGAUUUUCGUCAUGACCUCGUUCAAGGAUACGUGCUACAUCGAGAUCCAACCCAAGGUUCAGAAGUCCAACAAAGUGGUGCUAUUGAGCUUUUGGGCGGAGGUUCACUACAACUCGAUAUUUCCACAGAACGGUGAGUAGCAUGCCUGCCUGCCAUUGGCAUACAUGCAAUGCGUGUCCAGUCCCCGUCGCAAACACGCUCCGAGGUUGCACACGGCGAAGAAGAGGAGAUGGUGGCCGUUCUCACAGCACCACCAUUGAUGAGGCUCUCUUCCCUGGCCUCGGCGCGUGUACUCUGACGGCGUUCCGGCGUGCAAAGCACUCUCGUUUCUCCAUCGAGAUGGCCCGGGGGGGUGCACUCCUGGUCCCGGGAGGGGUCGUCGCGGUGUGCGCUCUGACGGGAGGAGAGAAAGAAAAGGCGUUAUGGUUGUCUGAGAUAAUAUUAUAGAUACAUGGAAUGGAAGGAAUAAUGAACAUGCGACCUGUCCCGUAUAUAGUUUUGGGUCGCAUUGCAUGCUCUGUUAUGUAUUUACAUACAAAAUUUUGCCGGAAUGAGGCUACAUACAGUUAAUCAUUCAUUUGGAAUACAAAUGAUAUGGAUGAUGAUACUAAUAAAUAUCUGGGUUGGAGGCAGUGCUAAA